rnacentral:rRNA from 1 species
CGCCCGUCGCUCCUACCGAUUGGGUGUGCUGGUGAAGAGUUCGGAUUGGUGGCCGGGGGCGGUUUCCGCUUCCGGCCGUCGAGAAGUUCUUUAAACCCUCCCACCUAGAGGAAGUAAAAGUCGUAACAAGGUUUCC